rnacentral:rRNA from 1 species
GUACACGCUGUGACUAGCAUAUCAAUAAGCGGAGGAAAAGCAUACCUACGCUUAGGAUGUCGACACACGCGCGUGCUCGACUCUAUACAUGACUCUGUGCAUAUCAAUAAGCGGAGGAAAAGAAACUAACAAGGAUUCCCCUAGUAACGGCGAGUGAAGCGGGAAGAGCUCAAAUUUGAAAUCUUAAAGGGUUUCCCUUUACGAAUUGUAGUUUAAAGAAGUGUUUUCUGUUGAGGUUUUGGUAAAAGUUCUUUGGAAUAGGACAUCAUAGAGGGUGAGAAUCCCGUAUUUGACCUUUACUUUCAACUUUGUGAUACACUUUCAAAGAGUCGGAUUGUUUGGGAAUGCAGUCCAAAAUGGGUGGUAAAUUUCAUCUAAAGCUAAAUAUUGGCGAGAGACCGAUAGCGAACAAGUACCGUGAGGGAAAGAUGAAAAGAACUUUGAAAAGAGAGUUAAACAGUACGUGAAAUUGUCAAAAGGGAAGCGUUUGACACCAGUGUUGUUUUUCUGAAAAUCAAUUAAAGAACUGUUUAUGCUAAGCUGUUUAGACUUUAUCAGCUAACUGUUUAGUUUUGAGCUUUUCUUUAAUGCACUUUUCAGUUAACAAGUCAACAUCAAUUUCUUUUGCUGUAAAAAAGCUUGAGGAAGGUGGCUUGAGGAUUCGUCUUAAGUGUUUAUAGCCUCUUGCCUAUGCAGUCGGAGAGAUUGAGGUCUGCAGCGUAGAUCCUUCGGGGCUAAAUGCAUUUGUGCUAAGUUAUAGCAUUUUAUAGACAACUUGUUGACUAUGAUUUGUCUUGUAGCUUACUCGCUUAUGUUAUUUUACCUACGCUUAGGAUGUUGAGUCGUAGAGCACGCAG